AUUGAUCAAAUUUGGUCUAUUUCAUGUUUGGAAAAAUGUGAGUCUUGGACUUAAAGUUCCUGGUUUGACAAGUGCUGUGUGAAAAAGAGAAUAAAACAGCAGCAAAAUAGAAAAUCAGCAAGACUAGCAAGAAAGAAUCAUGAAAUGGACUACUCAAGAUUGCUUUUAGACGGUAUAACAGAGAGGCAAAGAGUGUGGACUCUGGGUGCGUGCUGUCUGCCUUCAGUUCCCGGUUUCACCACGAACUGUGCAGUCUUGGUAAGGAUGAGAUCCAGAGAGAUCCUUGUUGGAGAUUCGGAGGCAGGAAGUGAAGGAGCAGCCAUUUUGUCUCUCACAUGUGUCACAGACUUGCUGUCUCAUCUCAUUGGUGUGAAGCAGUAGGGAGGCUGGCAACACUCCACCUUCUUCCAGAUCUUUCUUCAGCUUCUCUGAUACCUGGGGCACAUGUGUGUGCUUAGCUCCAUGAAGAAGGGCCCCAACCUCUGUAGGACACCCAUAUCACCAAGGUCACACAGGUUACAACUCCUAGACGUUAAACUCCAUUUGUCACUGCUGGAUCCCCAAUGCCCAGAAGAGGAGGUAGGCUCAAGCAGGUUCUGAAGACACAACUGGAUUGCAUGAGCAGG
rnacentral:lncRNA from 1 species